rnacentral:lncRNA from 1 species
AAAAACUUCUUUGUUAAUAAAAUAAUUUUAGUAUAACGUUUAUCUUAAAAAUUUUAAAUUUAAAAAUUAUAUUAAAUAAACUUAAAAUAGCAAAUUCUUUGGUUAAGAUAUGAAAAGGAAAAAAAAAAUGAGAGGUCUCAUGUGCAGAUGGUUUGAAUCUCACCCCCACCAGUUGUGACCUGCGGUUUAGAGCUCUUGCGGAGGCACUAUAAAUUUUUUCAUAUGUUCCCUAAUUUGUUGAUUUUUUCAAUAAGGUUCAGUUAGGAUAUUCCUUAUAGAUGUACAUAAACUCUUAUUUCCAAGAUGAUCAAUAAAUUUAACAUUUC